AGAGUUUGAUCAUGGCUCAGAUUGAACGCUGGCGGCAGGCCUAACACAUGCAAGUCGAGCGGAUGAUGGGAGCUUGCUCCUGGAUUCAGCGGCGGACGGGUGAGUAAUGCCUAGGAAUCUGCCUGGUAGUGGGGGACAACGUUUCGAAAGGAACGCUAAUACCGCAUACGUCCUACGGGAGAAAGCAGGGGACCUUCGGGCCUUGCGCUAUCAGAUGAGCCUAGGUCGGAUUAGCUUGUUGGUGAGGUAAUGGCUCACCAAGGCGACGAUCCGUAACUGGUCUGAGAGGAUGAUCAGUCCCACUGGAACCGAGACACGGUCCAGACUCCUACGGCAGGCUGC
rnacentral:rRNA from 1 species